AGGGUCCGCCUACCGGUCGCGCGCCGCCGCCUCCGCCGCCGCUUGAGCCCAACAUGGCGAUGCACAACAAGACGGCGCCGCCGCAGAUCCCAGACACCCGGCGGGAGCUGGCCGAGCUGGUGAAGCGGAAGCAGGAGCUGGCGGAAACACUUGCAAACUUGGAGAGACAGAUCUAUGCUUUUGAAGGAAGCUACCUGGAAGACACUCAGAUGUAUGGCAAUAUUAUCCGUGGCUGGGAUCGGUAUCUGACCAAUCAAAAAAACUCCAAUAGCAAAAACGACCGGAGGAACCGGAAGUUCAAGGAGGCUGAACGGCUCUUCAGCAAAUCCUCAGUCACGUCGGCAGCUGCAGUAAGUGCCUUGGCAGGAGUUCAGGACCAGCUCAUCGAAAAGAGGGAACCAGGAAGUGGGACCGAAAGUGAUACUUCUCCAGACUUUCACAAUCAGGAGAACGAGCCCGCCCCGGAAGACCCUGAGGACCUGGACGGGUCUGUUCAGGGAGUGAAGCCCCAGAAGGCUGCCUCUUCUACCUCCUCAGGGAGCCACCACAGCAGCCACAAAAAACGGAAGAAUAAAAACCGGCACAGUUCUCUGAGUACGCUGCCUUCAGAUACGGGGAAACACUAAAAGUCGCUAAGCGCGAGCGUUCCUUCGUAGGAACCGUCUGAGUGAGCACUGCUACUUUGGCAGUGGGAAGUGAGAUGGGAGUGACCCCAGUGGACAGAGAGGUCAGGUGUCUCAGGGACGUUAGUGGUCACUCUGCCUGGGUUUGUAUGCUAAUGCUGGGCCUUAGCUCAGAGGGGAUGAGUCUGUAGAACAAGGGGCUCUCCUCCCUCUUGGUCUCGGAAGCCUGAACACUAGGGGUGAAGGGGGUGUGCAGGGCUGCGUGGGGCUCCCGUCCUCUGGUUGGCUGACGAGUGACAUUGCUUCAGAAGCCUGUGGGGCGGCCCUUCCUGCACUUGAGGUGUUGCACUUGGACUUCAUAGACCUGGCACUGUGGGUAAUAGAGAAUUAAAUUGAACUGGUUUAAUCCUUUGUCAUCAACAGAUUCUUGAAUCUUUUUAAGUUUUUCUUGUUUUUUAAAUUGCAGAAAUAGUGUUUCCUCCCAAUAAAUAGUGCUGAAUGACUGCCGCUUUACGUUUUUCUACAAACCCAAACCCACUGUGCUAAUGUGAACUCUAGCAAGGAACAGCCAAGAACUGCCCUACCGUCUUGCUACGGCUGUAGGUUAUUGGAGUGUUGUGGUAGGCAGAGACCCAUACUCCUAUGAAAGAGUAUUUUAUGGGCUGGGGAGAUGGCGCAGUCUGUAAAGUGCCUGCUCUGCUGGCCUGAGGACCUGAGUUCUAAUCCCAGCACCAUGUCAAAGUACUCAGUGAGUUGUGCAUGUCUGUAACUCCAGCACUGGGGACAUUGAGAACCGGGGGGCUUGCUGGCCAGCCAGUCUAAUAGAAGUGAUGGGACCCUUUCUCAAAAAGUACAUGGAGACACCCAGCAUCGACCUUUGGCCUCCAGAUGCACACACGUGUUUACACAUGUAUAUAGCACAUGCACACAGAUUGACAAGAUAAUUGAGCAUUUUCUUCUGUGUUGUUUUUAUCACGUUUAUCUUACUGUCAUUUUGGUGAUUCUGUUCCUAUUUCAGAGUGUCUAGAGCAGGGAGGACGUUAUUGACAGUCCCUGGGACUGCACCACUGGCCAGUGUCCUCUAGACCGCUGCUUCCAUGUACCAUCUCCUUGGCACUAGUGAUAGGAUCAGCUCUUGACUGCUGGAAACCUCUAGAGAAGCAUUCCAUUGAAUUUUGUCCUUGCAGGUUUCUAGGAACAACUCCACAGGAUAACACUUCUUCCUUAUCCCUCCCUUCCCUGGCCCCAGGAAUGAAUUCCUUCCAGAAACACUCUAGCAUUUAGAAAGACCGUUUUGGGCACCGUUCUCAUAAGGGGCUAGUCCUGCUCAGAAGGUGGACCGAGUUUUCAUCUCCAGAAGCCCCGUCUGUCUGAUCCCCCCAAGCCUCGCCUGCUCAUUUGCCCCCAAAGGCCAGUGGCACCGAGUUGCAUUGUGUCUUAGGAGCUGGGGCCAGGACUUCCCGAAGUGGCACCUCAGUGGGCUAGGGCUGUUGGAGUCCUGCUCCCUGUGCACACUCGAGGGCGGGGUGGGGCACUUCAUCCGGACACUCUGGGGAGGGGCCACCCAGAACAGUGCUUCCUUCUCUGCUCUUCGGUGGCCCGUGUAGUCAGGCCAUGGUGACAAGAUGUCUGAGGACUUGCCACAUGCCAGACACCGUUGAGGAGAAGCAGGAGGAAGUACUUGGACUUACCUUCUCCUGGGAUAUGAAAAUCCAUCAAGGACACCCCACCCCCCACCCCCCACCCGCCCCCUUUCACCCCAGGCUGGGGAUUGAAUGCAGAGCUUCAUGUAUGCUAGUCAAAUGAAAAUCGCUAGUUUUCUGAAUUCUUACAUUUUACAUGUCUGAACAAGCUAAGGCUUUAUUUUUGGUUGUGAGCCUAGCCUUUAACGGCUGAGCCAUCUCUCCAGCCCAGUCCCACUGUCUUUAAAGACAAAAGAGUAACUAUUAGCUGCUCUUAGAGGUUUUUACUAUUCUGUUGCACCCAAGAUUUGUUUUUGUGGAUGGUUGCUUGUUUCUUUGUAAGACGGGUUUAUUAUGUAGCCCUGGCUGGCCUCAGACUACUUUCUUCUGCCUUAGCCUCCUGAAUGCUGGGAUUGUCAGGGAUUGCCAUGCCUGCCACCAAACCCAAGUUUGGCUAAUAGAUACACUUUUAUUUAUGUAUGUAUCUGUUUCCACUACUAGGGAUUGAACCCAGCGUGCACCUACCAGUCAGCCACACCCCCAGCUGACACCAUCCAUUUUAAUUUGUGAAGGUUGCAUCAGUUUGAGAGGAAAGCAUUUUACAAGUCCUGCUUGUCUGCUGGUGUGUGUGCCCAGGAAGGUCCCACGGGAAGUGGUUUUAUAGGGUUGCUGACACUCGGCUCUCCUGUGAUGCUCACAAACACAGUCUAAAGAGCGGAAUAGCCAGUCAGUGCUGUCUGGCUGCCUGUCUGCAGUCUGAAAGGUGUCAGAGCCAGCCAGGAGCUGGAGUCACCUGCCAGGCCGAUGCUUGCUGUGGACAUCUGUGCAGAUGUGGCCUGUCAGCCCUGACAGCGCAGAACGGCCUCCUCUGCUGUGUGCCCACGGGGCUCAGUAGACCCCGGCACUCCUUAGUUGCUGCGCUGAUGUAAACAGUUGGCUGCCAUGCUGGGUGAGGUGUCACAUGCUUGCAAUUGCAAUACUUGGAGGCUGAGGCAGGAGGACAGCAAGUUUGAGACCAGUGUGGGCUAUAUUGCCAGACCCUCCUCAUCUCAUUAAAAACAAAAAGACCAUUGACCUGCCCUCGCCAGUUUAGGAGGCGGGUUUGUGAGAGAGAGGACUGUCAGGAUAUUUGUGCGGUCAGCAUAUGGCUUCCAGGAGGAACCCUGCAGCGGGAGCUGGUGGCACUGGACAUGUUUACAACACGAACUUGAACAAAAAGUUACAUGUUUUGCUGUUAUCAAAAUGCAAAGUGUUUUGUUUUAAUGACAAUAUGUUAUGCCUACUUCUAGCACCUUCUGCUGUAUGGCUAAACCUCUCUCCCCUCUGCCCCCUCCCUCGCCUCCCCCUCCUUCCCUCACUUCUAAUGCCCUAAUUCUGUUUCAGUCCAGAUAUCUUAGCAGUUCUAACCCCGAGUCUGGCAGCUAACCCCGAGGCUGUGGCUUCCUGGGUGCUCUAACACAGCCGCUUGCCCCCCCUAGCUGUUCUCUGCUCUGGUCUCCGCUGCGGGAAGGGAAUCCCCCUGACCACACAGUCUUUGGUGCUUUGAUGUUUGAAUCCUUAUGGCUUAAGAGUCUUAAAGCUGACUUUUGUUUCCACAAAUCUUGCUAGGAUGGCUAAUCGACUAAUUUAUUCAAUUAGUAUAUUAAUUUCUACUGCUUUCUUCCUCUCCAAUGCUGCCCCUCAGCCCGUCUGGCAUGUUUGAUUAUGACUUUGAGAUUGAUCUGAAGUUAAACAAAAAGCCCCGAGCUGACUAUUAGAAGACUUGUUAGCAGCAGCUUCCGGCUGUGGAGCCCUGCUUCCCCUCUGACCUCACACAGCGACAAAUGUCCCUCACCUGACUGUGGCCAUCCGCCUCUGCUCCCCCAGACCCAGUGCCUGCAACUGGCUAGUCUGUCCUAACCGUAGUGACGAGUCCUUUCUAUAAGACUGGGUCAUUCCUUGUCAUCCGGUAGUAGCAGAGCAGCGGAAGAUCUGUCCUUGGUCCUAGUCCCCACGGGUGGCUAACUGUGCAUUUCUCCCUUCUUAGAAUGAAUGUCUCCCCCCAAACUGGCUGGCACCAGCUCCAUCUGUGACCCCACCCCCGCCCCCCAUCGAGAAGUGCACAUCUCUGAUUUUGUGUUACGCUGAAGUAGAACCCAGGUUCCUUUGCAGAUGGAGGCUGUACAUAUCUGCCAUUCUUUUGUUUUGUUUUGUGUUGUAUUAUUUUUUUAUUGUUGUUUUUACCAUCUGAUUUUCUUUUGGGACAUUUUGUGAUGCCUGUACCUUCCUGUUGACACAUCUGAUCAUCUGUUUCAUGUGCUGUCAAUAUUCAUAACUGAAACUAAAGUGGCUUUCUAGAAGUAAAUGGGCAACUUGGC